rnacentral:rRNA from 1 species
GCUUACGGCCAUACCACCCUGAGAAAACGGCCACGAUCUCGUCCGAUCUCGGAAGCUAAGCAGGGUCGGGCCUGGUUAGUACUUGGAUGGGAGACCCGCCUGGGAAUACCAGGUUGCUGUAAGCU